UCUUGAAUAUGGUAGUGCAACACAGUUAUAUUUGGUGCCUUGCAUUCAGCAUGAGGAGCAAGUAUGUGUUUUAACACAGAAUAUAAACCAAGCUUCAAGGACACUUAGUACGUCGUAUCCUACCCAGGGUCCCCAAGUUUCGCAAGUUUCCUUGCCCUGUGAUUCGCAUGGGGCAAUUGAUUUUGGUAACUAUCCUUUUCGGUCUUAUGUGAUCG
rnacentral:misc_RNA from 1 species